rnacentral:rRNA from 1 species
UACAGAGGUCUCAAGCGUUGUUCGGAUUCAUUGGGCGUAAAGGGUGCGUAGGCGGCGCGGUAAGUCGGGUAUGAAAUCUUGGAGCUUAACUCCGAAACUGCAUUCGAUACUGCCGUGCUUGAGGACUGGAGAGGAGACUGGAAUUUACGGUGUAGCGGUGAAAUGCGUAGAUAUCGUAAGGAAGACCAGUGGCGAAGGCGGGUCUCUGGACAGUUCCUGACGCUGAAGCACGAAGGCCAGGGGAGCAAACGGG